CCCAAAGUCAUGGUUAAGUGGGAAACGAUGUGGGAAGGCUUAGACAGCUAGGAGGUUGGCUUAGAAGCAGCCACCCUUUAAAGAAAGCGUAAUAGCUCACUAGUCGAGUCGGCCUGCGCGGAAGAUGUAACGGGGCUCAAACCAUGCACCGAAGCUACGGGUAUCACCUUUUGGUGAUGCGGUAGAGGAGCGUUCUGUAAGCCUGUGAAGGUGAGUUGAGAAGCUUGCUGGAGGUAUCAGAAGUGCGAAUGCUGACAUGAGUAACGACAAUGCGAGUGAAAAACUCGCACGCCGAAAGACCAAGGUUUCCUGCGCAACGUUAAUCGACGCAGGGUUAGUCGGUCCCUAAGGCGAGGCUGAAAAGCGUAGUCGAUGGAAAACAGGUUAAUAUUCCUGUACUUCCAGUUAUUGCGAUGGAGGGACGGAGAAGGUUAGGCCAGCCUGGCGUUGGUUGUCCAGGUUUAAGGUGGUAGGCUGAAAUCUUAGGCAAAUCCGGGAUUUCAAGGCCGAGAGCUGAUGACGAGUUGCCUUUAGGCGACGAAGUGGUUGAUACCAUGCUUCCAAGAAAAGCUCCUAAGCUUCAGAUAACUGGGAACCGUACCCC
rnacentral:rRNA from 1 species